rnacentral:rRNA from 1 species
UACAGAGGUCUCAAGCGUUGUUCGGAUUCAUUGGGCGUAAAGGGUGCGUAGGUGGCGCUGUAAGUCGGGUGUGAAAAUUCGGAGCUUAACUCCGAACUGCAUUCGAUACUGCGGUGCUUGAGGACUGGAGAGGAGACUGGAAAUUCAUGGUGUAGCAGUGAAAUGCGUAGAGAUCAUGAGGAAGACCAGUGGCGAAGGCGGGUCUCUGGACAGUUCCUGACACUGGAGGCAACGAAGGCCCAGGGGAGCAAACGGG